UGUGUGCCGGGGGCGAGUUUCGAACUCGCGACCUCCAGAUUAUGAGUAUUGCCUUAGUUGGAGAACCGCUAGAGUCUACCAAGUAACUGGCACUCUAACCAGGCUGAGCUACCCCGGC
rnacentral:tRNA from 1 species